AGAUGCUACAGCACCUGCCUACUCAACCCGUGGUGUUCCCCCGAUGUUUCCAGUCCUGGCUUCUGUGUUGGAAUGGACUUCCUGGCCUUGGGCCCUCAGUUGGGAUAAAGAUGAAGAGUUUCUGGGAAAAGUGCUUAUGGCAGCCAAAGACUUCACAGAUGGACGGCUGCGAAGAGCUGGGCUCCCAAACACCCUAACAAGCUCACAACAAAUUUCUGCUGAGGUUUGGUUUCACCUGCUCGUGCAGACUUCCCACCUUGUAUGUCCCUAGCUGCAGAUGCAGAGCUUCGAAACAAAGUUUGGCCAGCUGUCAGUCACUUCUCUUGGUGCACAACUGGAAGGCACUGGGAUGCUACACUGGUGAGUGCAGUGAAAGGGAGCUCAGUGGUGUGUUCAUACGGCUUUUAUUGGGUUGAGAUGUUUGUCAGUGUAACAAAAGCUGUUCCUUGGCUUCAGUACCGGGGGUAUCUUGUUUGUGAUGCUGUGAUACUCGAAACAAAGACUUUGUGUGCAUGCUCUGCUUUCCUAGAAGCUAACAGCAGCUCCCAGCGGCAGGCUGCCUGGCUGUUGUGUACAUGGAUGCUCUCCAGCGCUAAUGUCACCAGACUAUCAAGUCAAAACACGCUGGUGCGCACGUGGCAUCUUUAUUUACCAGUCUGAGCCCAGCCAUUUCCACUGGGGAGGCACCGUGCUGACAGAAGAACUUGUUUUCUGGCAGCUGAUGAGACGAUCCUGCCCACACGUGCCAGUCCUUCUUCCAGAUGUCUGUAAACCAGCUUUUGGGGACACCUGAUGAAACUUGAUGGUUUGCUCCUGCUCUACAGUGCCAGGUGGAUUUGAACAGUGGUAUGUACUGAAUAUUCCAGCUUCCAAACCUCAGAAGAGACAUGGGGCACCUGGUGCUGGGAUGGCAAUCAGAGGAAGCACGGGGAUGGGAACAGAGCUCACUCCCCUUGGUUAUCCACUGUGACCUACAUGGCACAACAAAAAAACUGUUUCCUUCCAUCUCUUCCAGAAGCAUGUUUCCAUCUAAUGCAAGAGAAGCUGUGCCCACACGAUGGGCAGGACCACAGCAGGAGCUUGCUGCAGGGCUUCGCAGCCUUCCCCUGAGCAGAAAAGCCCGCAGCUGGCUCCCACCUCAGCCAGAAGCAACAUCUCAGCAUCCCCGUUUCUUCGUGUCACCCCACGUGAGCUGCUACAGGGACAGCAGACAGAGCUGCCCGGUUGCAGGAGUGCUGUGGGCAGCCAGAGGCCAGCGUUUCACGAUGAGAAGCGGGACCAGCUUUCAGCUUCCUCGUCUCUAG
rnacentral:lncRNA from 1 species